AGAGUUUGAUCCUGGCUCAGGACGAACGCUGGCGGCGUGCCUAACACAUGCAAGUCGAGCGGGGAUUGUGGAGAGCUUGCUCAAAGCAAUUCUAGCGGCGGACGGGUGAGUAACGCGUGAGCAACCUGCCUUUCACAGGGGGAUAACGCAUCGAAAGAUGUGCUAAUACCGCGUAAGACCACAGCACCGCAUGGUGCAGGGGUCAAAGGAGCAAUCCGGUGAAAGAUGGGCUCGCGUCCGAUUAGCUAGUUGGUGAGAUAACAGCCCACCAAGGCGACGAUCGGUAGCCGACCUGAGAGGGUGAUCGGCCACAUUGGAACUGAGAGACGGUCCAGACUCCUACGGGAGGCAGCAGUGGGGAAUAUUGGGCAAUGGGCGAAAGCCUGACCCAGCAACGCCGCGUGAGGGAAGAAGGGUUUCGGCUCGUAAACCUCUGUCCUAUGGGACGAAUGAGAUGACGGUACCAUAGGAGGAAGCCCCGGCUAACUACGUGCCAGCAGCCGCGGUAAUACGUAGGGGGCGAGCGUUGUCCGGAAUGAUUGGGCGUAAAGGGCGCGUAGGCGGCCCGUUAAGUCUGGAGUGAAAGUCCUGCUUUCAAGGUGGGAAUUGCUUUGGAUACUGAUGGGCUGGAGUGCAGGAGAGGAAAGCGGAAUUACCGGUGUAGCGGUGAAAUGCGUAGAGAUCGGUAGGAACACCAGUGGCGAAAGCGGCUUCCUGGACUGAAACUGACGCUGAGGCGCGAAAGCGUGGGGAGCAUACAGGAUUAGAUACCAUGGUAGUCCACGCGGUAAACGAUGAAUGNUAGGUGUAGGAGGUAUCGACCCAUUCUGUGCCGCAGUUAACACAAUAAGCAUUCCGCAUGGGGAGUACGCCAGCAAGGUUGAAAAUCAAAGGAAUUGACGGGGGCCAGCACAAGCAGCGGAGCAUGUGGUUUAAUUCGAAGCAACGCGAAGAACCUUAAGCAGGUGUUGACAUCCAGCAAAAACCUAAGAGAUUAGGCGUCCCUUCGGGGGUGAUGAGACAGGUGGUGCAUGGAUAUUGUCAGCUCGUGUCGUGAGAUGGUGGUCUAAGUCCUUCAAAGAGCGCAACCCCUAUAGUCCGUUAUUAACAGGCAGUGCUGAGGACUCAGAGGAGACCGCCGGGGACAACUCGGAGGAAGGUGGGGACGACGUCAUAUCAUCAUGCCCCUUACGACGUGGGCUACACAAGUGGUACAAUGGGUACUACAAAGGGAAGCGAGAUCUGUAAAGUGGAGCGAAACCCAGAAAAGUAAUCUCACUUCAGAUUGAGGCAUGCAACCCGCCCACAUGAAGUUGGAGUCGAUAUUAAUACCGGAUCAGCAUGCCGCGGAGAAUAUGUUCACCGGGCCUUGUACACACCGCCAGUCA
rnacentral:rRNA from 1 species